GAUGAAGAACGUAGCGAAAUGCGAUAAGUAAUGUGAAUUGCAGAAUUCAGUGAAUCAUCGAAUCUUUGAACGCACAUUGCGCCCGCCAGUAUUCUGGCGGGCAUGCCUGUUCGAGCGUCAUUUCAACCAUCAAGCCCUGCUUGCGUUGGGGUCCUGCGGCUGCCCGCAGGCCCUGAAAACCAGUGGCGGGCUCGCUAGUCACACCGAGCGCAGUAAUACAUCUCGCUCAGGGCGUGCUGCGGGUUCCGGCCGUUAAAAAGCCUUAUUUACCCAAGGUUGACCUCGGAUCAGGUAGGAAGACCCGCUGAACUUAAGCAUAUCAAUAAGCGGAGGA
rnacentral:misc_RNA from 1 species